rnacentral:rRNA from 1 species
ACGGGAGGCAGCAGUGGGGAAUAUUGGGCAAUGGGCGGAAGCCUGACCCAGCAACGCCGCGUGAGGGAAGAAGGUUUUCGGAUUGUAAACCUCUGUCCUUGGUGACGAAAAGAUGACGGUAGCCAAGGAGGGAGCCCCGGCUAACUACGUGCCAGCAGCCGCGGUAAUACGUAGGGGGCGAGCGUUGUCCGGAAUGACUGGGCGUAAAGGGCGUGUAGGCGGCGCUGUAAGUCCGGAGUGAAAGUCCUGCUUUCAAGGUGGGAAUUGCUUUGGAGACUGCAGAGCUUGAGUACGGAAGAGGUAAGUGGAAUUCCCGGUGUAGCGGUGAAAUGCGUAGAGAUCGGGAGGAACACCAGUGGCGAAGGCGACUUACUGGACUGUAACUGACGUUGAGGCUCGAAAGCGUGGGGAGCAAACAGGAUUAGAUACCCUGGUA